CAAAAAAAAAAAAAAAAAAAAAAAAAAAAAAAAAAAAAA
rnacentral:ribozyme from 13 species